rnacentral:rRNA from 1 species
UACGGGAGGCAGCAGUGGGGAAUAUUGCACAAUGGGCGCAAGCCUGAUGCAGCCAUGCCGCGUGUAUGAAGAAGGCCUUCGGGUUGUAAAGUACUUUCAGUCGUGAGGAAGGUGUUAAGGUUAAUAACCUUAGCAAUUGACGUUAGCGACAGAAGAAGCACCGGCUAACUCCGUGCCAGCAGCCGCGGUAAUACAGAGGGUGCGAGCGUUAAUCGGAUUUACUGGGCGUAAAGCGUGCGUAGGCGGCUGAUUAAGUCGGAUGUGAAAUCCCUGAGCUUAACUUAGGAAUUGCAUUCGAUACUGGUCAGCUAGAGUAUGGGAGAGGAUGGUAGAAUUCCAGGUGUAGCGGUGAAAUGCGUAGAGAUCUGGAGGAAUACCGAUGGGCGAAGGGCAGCCAUCUGGGCCUAAUCUGACGCUGAGGUACGAAAGCAUGGGGAAGGCAAACAGGGAUUAGGAUACC